rnacentral:rRNA from 1 species
GAUGAACGCUGGCGGCGUGCCUAAUACAUGCAAGUCGAGCGAACAGAUGAGGAGCUUGCUCCUCUGACGCUAGCGGCGGACGGGUGAGUAACACGUGGAUAACCUACCUAUAAGACUGGGAUAACUUCGGGAAACCGGAGCUAAUACCGGAUAAUAUAUUGAACCGCAUGGUUCGAUAGUGAAAGACGGUUUUGCUGUCACUUAUAGAUGGAUCCGCGCCGCAUUAGCUAGUUGGUAAGGUAACGGCUUACCAAGGCAACGAUGCGUAGCCGACCUGAGAGGGUGAUCGGCCACACUGGAACUGAGACACGGUCCAGACUCCUACGGGAGGCAGCAGUAGGGAAUCUUCCGCAAUGGGCGAAAGCCUGACGGAGCAACGCCGCGUGAGUGAUGAAGGUCUUCGGAUCGUAAAACUCUGUUAUUAGGGAAGAACAAAUGUGUAAGUAACUAUGCACGUCUUGACGGUACCUAAUCAGAAAGCCACGGCUAACUACGUG